GGGGUCUGCAUUAAGGAUCUCCUGACCGAGUCUAGAGUAACAGGAUGUGAGCCUAGGGUCUCAUGCUGAGGUCAGAAGCAGCGUAGGGAUCAGUCCAGGGACUUCCACCUUGGAAAACCAGCCUCACAUGCAUGCGAAGGUCUAGAGUCGUCACACAUACCACCUGAGCUCACGUUGCAGGCACCUUGCACGUCUGGCCUACCUUGUUGAACCGAGAUCCCAUCUGCAGCUGACAGGGGCUGCCCCUCCCUGUACCAGAGUGCAGGUUCUGAUGAAGCAAAGAAAACAGGGCCCAGCCUCCUCCCGCAGGAAGAACUUCUUAUGCGCCUAAGAACCUAGAGCUGUGUCUUACCCAGGACCUCUACACUGAAGUUCCUCUGUGC